UGGGGAAUAUUGGACAAUGGGGGCAACCCUGAUCCAGCAAUUCUGUGUGCACGAAGAAGGUUUUCGGAUUGUAAAGUGCUUUCAGCAGGGAAGAAGAAAGUGACGGUACCUGCAGAAGAAGCGACGGCUAAAUACGUGCCAGCAGCCGCGGUAAUACGUAUGUCGCAAGCGUUAUCCGGAAUUAUUGGGCAUAAAGGGCAUCUAGGCGGCCCUGUAAGUCUAGGGUGAAAACCUGCGGCUCAACCGCAGGCCUGCCCCGGAAACUACAAGGCUAGAGUAUCGGAGAGGUGGACGGAACUGCACGAGUAGAGGUGAAAUUCGUAGAUAUGUGCAGGAAUGCCGAUGAUGAAGAUAGUUCACUGGACGGUAACUGACGCUGAAGUGCGAAAGCUAGGGGAGCAAACAGGAUUAGAUACCCUGGUAGUCCUAGCUGUAAACGAUGAUUACUGGGUGUGGGCAUGAAGAGUGUCCGUGCCGAAGCAAAUGCGAUAAGUAAUCCGCCUGGGGAGUACGGCCGCAAGGCUG
rnacentral:rRNA from 1 species